GAGUUUGAUCUUGGCUCAGAUUGAACGCUGGCGGCAUGCCUUACACAUGCAAGUCGAACGGCAGCACGGGAGCUUGCUCCUGGUGGCGAGUGGCGAACGGGUGAGCAAUGCAUCGGAACGUAUCCUGGAGUGGGGGAUAACGUAGCGAAAGUUACGCUAAUACCGCAUAUUCUGUGAGCAGGAAAGCGGGGGACCUUCGGGCCUCGCGCUCUUGGAGCGGCCGAUGUCGGAUUAGCUAGUUGGUGAGGUAAAGGCUCACCAAGGCGACGAUCCGUAGCAGGUCUGAGAGGAUGAUCUGCCACACUGGAACUGAGACACGGUCCAGACUCCUACGGGAGGCAGCAGUGGGGAAUUUUGGACAAUGGGGGCAACCCUGAUCCAGCCAUGCCGCGUGAGUGAAGAAGGCCUCGG
rnacentral:rRNA from 1 species